rnacentral:misc_RNA from 1 species
AUUGAUUUGCCAGAAAAAGCUCUGCGUAUGAAGUUGGAUGUGAAGUUGGAAACUAUAAAGAGUAAUGAACAAACUCCAUAUGGCGACCUCAUGUAAGUAACUUGCUUAAAGUGAAUCUGCAAAUGUGCGAUAUUUUCAUUAAGAAAAAUUUUUCUUAUUUGGACAGGAAACUUAAAUUGCUACGCCACAUUGUGCAUUAACUGAUUAUUGCUGCUGCUGCUUUUGGUUCCUUCUUGUAGAGAUGCUUUCCCAUUCUAAAUUGUGAAUGAGAAGAUGAGAGCAUUUAAAUUGUCAUAGGCUUGUAUAUAGACAAUAAUUGUAUAGAAAAUCAUGUGGGGUUUGACUUAGUGAAGGAUGGAUAAAUAAAGAUAAGGUGGGGUAAGUGAGUUAUGUAUCUUUAUUUGGAAAAGGGAUGAAUUUAUAUAGGGUAAGAGUGAGGGUAAAGCUAAUUUUUCUUACGUCUCAAUUUAGGCUCUAUUUUAAUGGGAUGAGAGAAUGGUAAUUAAUAGAAGGGAAAGGGAGAGUAAG